rnacentral:rRNA from 1 species
GAUGAACGCUAGCGGCAGGCCUAAUACAUGCAAGUCGAACGGAUAUAUGUUUUUCGGAAUAUAUAUUAGUGGCGCACGGGUGAGUAACACGUACAUAACUUGCCCUCAAGCGGGGGAUAGCCUUGGGAAACUGAGAGUAAUACCCCAUAGAAUUAUUGGACGGCAUCGUUUGAUAAUUAAAACUACGGUGCUUGGGGAUAGAUGUGCGUCUGAUUAGCUAGUUGGUGAGGUAACUGCUCACCAAGGCGACGAUCAGUAGGGGGCGUGAGAGCGUGGCCCCCCCANACGGGUACUGAGACACGGACCCGACUCCUACGGGAGGCAGCAGUAAGGAAUAUUGGUCAAUGGAGGGAACUCUGAACCAGCCAUGCCGCGUGAAGGAUGACGGCCCUCUGGGUUGUAAACUUCUUUUGGAUGGGGGACGAAAAAACGGGAUUUAUCCUGGACUGACGGUACCAUCAGAAUAAGCACCGGCUAACUCCGUGCCAGCAGCCGCGGU